CCUCUUUUAGCUGAUGAGUAUAUCUUGUCGUAAACUGUGUUAAACAUUAGGUCUCUCUGAUAUGUGCUGAAACCAGGAUCUUUCCAAGAUUUUCCAAACUCGGUUACCAGGAUUGGUUUUCGUAGAAUGUACUGUGCAUCUUGGAUGUGUGCAUUGAGCCAGUUGUUCAAGAAAGUAAGUUGGUAUUCAUUGUUAGAGCUAGAUAACCAUUGAUCAGGAUAUGAGUGAACUGUGGCGAAAUCAAUGCCAGGGAUGCGGUUAUUGGAAAUGAAAUCUGUCCCUAUUUCAAUACCAGGGUUGAGAU
rnacentral:misc_RNA from 1 species